rnacentral:rRNA from 1 species
GGUGAACGCUGGCGGCGUGCCUAAUACAUGCAAGUCGAGCGAACGGACAAUAAGCUUUCGUCUCUGAUGUUGGCGGCGGACGGGUGAGUAACACGUGGAUCGCCUACCUAUAAGACUGGGAGAACUUCGUGAGGCCGGAUCUACUACCGGAGAAUAUUUUGAACCGCAUGGUUCAAAAGUUAAUGACGGUCUUGCUGUCACUUAUAGAUGAUUCCGCGCUGGAUUAGCUAGUUGGUAAGGUAACGGCUUACCAAGGCAACGAUGCAUAGCUGACCUGAGAGGGUGAUCGGCCACACUGGAACUGAGACACGGUCCAGACUCCUACGGGAGGCAGCAGUAGGGAAUCUUGCGCAAUGGGCGAAAGCCUGACGGAGCAACGCCGCGUGAGUGAUGAAGGUCUUCGGAUCGUAAAACUCUGUUAUUAGGGAAGAAAAUAUGUGUAAGUAAAUGUGCAUAUCUUGACGGUACCUAAUGAGAAAGCAACGGCUAACUACGUG